rnacentral:rRNA from 1 species
AUUGAACGCUGGCGGCAGGCCUAACACAUGCAAGUCGAGCGGAGCGGCGGACGGGUGAGUAAUGCCUAGGAAUCUGCCUGGUAGUGGGGGAUAACGUCCGGAAACGGGCGCUAAUACCGCAUACUAUCAGAUGAGCCUAGGUCGGAUUAGCUAGAUGGUGGGGUAAAGCUCUUACAAGGCGCCGCUCCGUAACUGGUCUGAGAGGAUGAUCAGUCACACUGGAACGUAGAUACGGUCCAGACGCCUACGGGAGGCAGCAGGGGGGAAUAUGGGAAAAUGGGCGAAAUCCUUAUCCAGCCAUGCCGCGUGUGUGAAGAAGGUCUGUGGAUUGUAAAGCACUUUAAGUUGGGAGGCGUUACCAACAGAAUAAGCACCGGCUAACUUCGUGCCAGCAGACGCGGUAAUUC